GAUGAACGCUGGCGGCGUGCCUAAUACAUGCAAGUCGAGCGAACGGACGAGAAGCUUGCUUCUCUGAUGUUAGCGGCGGACGGGUGAGUAACACGUGGAUAACCUACCUAUAAGACUGGGAUAACUUCGGGAAACCGGAGCUAAUACCGGAUAAUAUUUUGAACCGCAUGGUUCAAAAGUGAAAGACGGUCUUGCUGUCACUUAUAGGUGGAUCCGCGCUGCAUUAGCUAGUUGGUAAGGUAACGGCUUACCAAGGCAACGAUGCAUAGCCGACCUGAGAGGGUGAUCGGCCACACUGGAACUGAGACACGGUCCAGACUCCUACGGGAGGCAGCAGUAGGGAAUCUUCCGCAAUGGGCGAAAGCCUGACGGAGCGACGCCGCGUGAGUGAUGAAGGUCUUCGGAUCGUAAAACUCUGUUAUUAGGGAAGAACAUAUGUGUAAGUAACUGUGCACAUCUUGACGGUACCUAAUCAGAAAGCCACGGCUAACUACGUG
rnacentral:rRNA from 1 species